CCUACGGGUGGCAGCAGUGGGGAAUAUUGCACAAUGGGCGCAAGCCUGAUGCAGCCAUGCCGCGUGUGUGAAGAAGGCCUUCGGGUUGUAAAGCACUUUCAGCGGGGAGGAAGGCGUUAAGGUUAAUAACCUUGUCGAUUGACGUUACCCGCAGAAGAAGCACCGGCUAACUCCGUGCCAGCAGCCGCGGUAAUACGGAGGGUGCAAGCGUUAAUCGGAAUUACUGGGCGUAAAGCGCACGCAGGCGGUCUGUCAAGUCGGAUGUGAAAUCCCCGGGCUCAACCUGGGAACUGCAUUCGAAACUGGCAGGCUAGAGUCUUGUAGAGGGGGGUAGAAUUCCAGGUGUAGCGGUGAGAUGCGUAGAGAUCUGGAGGAAUACCGGUGGCGAAGGCGGCCCCCUGGACAAAGACUGACGCUCGGGUGCGAAAGCGUGGGGAGCAAACAGGAUUAGAUACCCGGGUAGUC
rnacentral:rRNA from 1 species